GAGUGCUUGCACUCAAUUGGAAAGAGGAGUGGCGGACGGGUGAGUAACACGUGGGUAACCUACCCAUCAGAGGGGGAUAACACUUGGAAACAGGUGCUAAUACCGCAUAACAGUUUAUGCCGCAUGGCAUAAGAGUGAAAGGCGCUUUCGGGUGUCGCUGAUGGAUGGACCCGCGGUGCAUUAGCUAGUUGGUGAGGUAACGGCUCACCAAGGCCACGAUGCAUAGCCGACCUGAGAGGGUGAUCGGCCACACUGGGACUGAGACACGGCCCAGACUCCUACGGGAGGCAGCAGUAGGGAAUCUUCGGCAAUGGACGAAAGUCUGACCGAGCAACGCCGCGUGAGUGAAGAAGGUUUUCGGAUCGUAAAACUCUGUUGUUAGAGAAGAACAAGGACGUUAGUAACUGAACGUCCCCUGACGGUAUCUAACCAGAAAGCCACGGCUAACUACGUGCCAGCAGCCGCGGUAAUACGUAGGUGGCAAGCGUUGUCCGGAUUUAUUGGGCGUAAAGCGAGCGCAGGCGGUUUCUUAAGUCUGAUGUGAAAGCCCCCGGCUCAACCGGGGAGGGUCAUUGGAAACUGGGAGACUUGAGUGCAGAAGAGGAGAGUGGAAUUCCUGGGUUAA
rnacentral:rRNA from 1 species